GGAGUUUGGGCCGUGUCUCAGUCCCAAUGUGGCCGGUCACCCUCUCAGGUCGGCUACUGAUCGUCGCCUUGGUGAGCCGUUACCUCGCCAACUAGCUAAUCAGACGCGGGUCCAUCUUGUACCGAAAAUACUUUUCACACUGCAUCAUGCGAUGCUGUGCGCUUAUGCGGUAUUAGUAGUCGUUUCCAACUGUUGUCCCCCUGUACAAGGUAGGUUACCCACGCGUUACUCACCCGUGCGCCGGUCGCCAUCACAGAUAGCAAGCUACCUGCAUGCUGCCCCUCGACUUGCAUGUGUUAAGCCUGUAGCUAGCGUUCAUC
rnacentral:rRNA from 1 species